rnacentral:tRNA from 1 species
AAGGGAGACCUAAUUCCAGUAGGAGACGAAAAAAAAGUAGUCCCUACCAAGAAUCAAUCCCAAAAGGUCGGAGCGAGGCAAAAUUGGCUUUCAAACUAGGUUCUGGGUUCACACAAGACCUGAAUCAGGAACAAGGGCUAUUAGCUCAGGUGGUUAGAGCGCACCCCUGAUAAGGGUGAGGUCCCUGGUUCGAGUCCAGGAUGGCCCACCUACACAGGUGGCAAGAAAGAAAAGAAGCUCCGAAUCAGCACCUUAUCUUACUCAUAUAUAUGUAAGAGAGAAUGCUGGCUCUGAGUACAGAGUCCAGAGGAACCUUGAAAACUGCAUAGAGCUAGGUGAAAAAGCCAAAAAAGAAGACCGCAAGGUCAAGCUAAUAAGGGCUAACGGUGGAUACCUAGGCAC